rnacentral:lncRNA from 1 species
CCCAUGGAAACCAUAGCAACGAGCAGCUAGAAGACGCCGGCCAUUCAUCUCCCUUUUGUUCCUUGCCUUGCAUGUGGACUCUCCAAUUACAGUCCGCAUAAACGCAGGAAGGACGGAAGACUGCGAGAAAGGAAAAGAGGAAAGGGAAAGAGAGAAUUGAAGCGAAGAAAAUGAGAAGGAAGAAAGGAAAGGAGCAAGGAAGGGAAGAAGAAGGAAAUGAAGAAGAAAGUGAAUUCUUAGCCUCUGUCUGCCAGCUGUGUGACCCUGGACACAUUACUUAACCUCUCUGAGGUCCAGUUAUUUUCUUCAGCAAAAUAGAGACGCCGGAUGGUUUAGGAGACGCACACCUGGAGCUCAGGGGAGCAGCCCGCAGGGCAGCUUCCAGGUGGUGCCCAUCCUUCCAUGGACUACAAUCUGAGCAGCCAGAAGACUAGAAGAUUUGCUCAAGAAAAUCUAGCUAGUCAUAAUGGGCAGAACAUGACUUUGAACUCAGAUCAACAUGUCCAUAUCCCCUUGGCAACUGCUGCUCCAACAUGCGCAAUGGGGGUUCUCCUGUAAGCACACCCAGUCUCCUCCCGAGGGCCUUCUCCCUGCCCACUCAGGACACGCUGGAAGUUCUGGCAGUUACUGCCUCAACAGCAGCAAUUACCCAAUGAUGGGUGGGAGCUGGAAGGCAAAUACCCCAGCUUUUUUACCUCUUCAGUGGGAUAACCCUGAGCUAUCUUCUACAACAUCUCCCAGAAGUCCCCAGUGAGACUGCAUUCCAGUUGCUCACAGUGUUAACUUGCUCAAUAAAACCUUUUCUUGGCUUUUUCUCCUUUUCUCUGUCACUUCCCCACUCUCCUACUAGUAGUUCUUGAGAUGAGCUACCAAAUAAAUU